rnacentral:rRNA from 1 species
AGAGUUUGAUCCUGGCUCAGGAUGAACGCUAGCUACAGGCUUAACACAUGCAAGUCGAGGGGCAGCAUGAACUUAGCUUGCUAAGUUUGAUGGCGACCGGCGCACGGGUGAGUAACACGUAUCCAACCCUCCGUUUACUCAGGGAUAGCCUUUCGAAAGAAAGAUUAAUACCUGAUAGUAUGGUGAGAUUGCAUGAUAGCACCAUUAAAGAUUUAUUGGUAAACGAUGGGGAUGCGUUCCAUUAGGUAGUAGGCGGGGUAACGGCCCACCUAGCCGACGAUGGAUAGGGGUUCUGAGAGGAAGGUCCCCCACAUUGGAACUGAGACACGGUCCAAACUCCUACGGGAGGCAGCAGUGAGGAAUAUUGGUCAAUGGGCGAGAGCCUGAACCAGCCAAGUAGCGUGAAGGAUGAAGGUCCUACGGAUUGUAAACUUCUUUUAUACGGGAAUAAAGUUUCCUACGUGUAGGAUUUUGUAUGUACCGUAUGAAUAAGCAUCGGCUAACUCCGUGCCAGCAGCCGCGGU